rnacentral:rRNA from 1 species
GACGGAGGGUGCUAGCGUUGUUCGGAUUUACUGGGCGUAAAGAGCGUGUAGGCGGCUCGUUAGGUCAGGUGUGAAAUCCCUCGGCCCAACCGAGGAAGUGCACUUGAAACCGGCGGGCUUGAGUACGGGAGAGGGAAGCGGAAUUCCUAGUGUAGAGGUGAAAUUCGUAGAUAUUAGGAGGAACACCCGUGGCGAAGGCGGCUUCCUGGACCGAUACUGACGCUGAGACGCGAAAGCGUGGGGAGCAAACAGGAUUAGAUACCCGCGUA